rnacentral:rRNA from 1 species
UAGGGAAUCUUCCGCAAUGGACGAAAGUCUGACGGAGCAACGCCGCGUGAGUGAUGAAGGUUUUCGGAUCGUAAAACUCUGUUGUUAGGGAAGAACAAGUACCGUUCGAAUAGGGCGGUACCUUGACGGUACCUAACCAGAAAGCCACGGCUAACUACGUGCCAGCAGCCGCGGUAAUACGUAGGUGGCAAGCGUUGUCCGGAAUUAUUGGGCGUAAAGCGCGCGCAGGCGGUCCUUUAAGUCUGAUGUGAAAGCCCACGGCUCAACCGUGGAGGGUCAUUGGAAACUGGGGGAAUUGAGUGCAGAAGAGGAGAGUGGAAUUCCACGUGUAGCGGUGAAAUGCGUAGAGAUGUGGAGGAACACCAGUGGCGAAGGCGACUCUCUGGUCUGUAACUGACGCUGAGGCGCGAAAGCGUGGGGAGCGAACAGG